AACGAACGCUGGCGGCAGGCCUAACACAUGCAAGUCGAGCGAAGCCUUCGGGCUUAGCGGCGGACGGGUGAGUAACGCGUGGGAACGUGCCCUUUGGUACGGAAUAGCCCCGGGAAACUGGGAGUAAUACCGUAUGUGGUCGAGAGACGAAAGAUUUAUCGCCAAAGGAUCGGCCCGCGUUGGAUUAGGUAGUUGGUGGGGUAAUGGCCUACCAAGCCGACGAUCCAUAGCUGGUUUGAGAGGAUGAUCAGCCACACUGGGACUGAGACGCGGCCCAGACUCCUACGGGAGGCAGCAGUGGGGAACCUUAGACAAUGGGGGAAACCCUGAUCUAGCCAUGCCGCGUGAUCGAUGAAGGCCUUAGGGUUGUAAAGAUCUUUCAGUGGGGAAGAUAAUGACUGUACCCACAGAAGAAGCCCCGGCUAACUCCGUGCCAGCCGCCGCAGUAAAAC
rnacentral:rRNA from 1 species